GAACAUGUACAAAAGGUAGAAUACAAAAUCUGAUUUUUUUAGAAGUAAGAAAUUUGUUAGAAACUGUAUUCUCAACGUUUUAGAACAAAUUUUAUCUAUCAAAAAACAUAAUUUUUGUGAAAAAAAAGAAAAAAAUAUUCUUUAAAUGUUCUCCAGAACUACAUAUCAACAUGUUUUUUGAGUUUCCCUUCUUAAAUUUGCUUAAAAUUGGAUUUUU
rnacentral:lncRNA from 1 species